rnacentral:rRNA from 1 species
GGCAGACGGGUGAGGAGCACGUACCUGACCUGACACACGGAGGGGGAUAGUCCCCCUGAAAGGGGGUUGAAUACCGCGUACGCUCGUCAAGGCAGCUUGAUGAGGAGAGGUGGCCUCUGUAUGCACGCUAUCGCCGUGUGAGGGGGGUGCGUCCUAUUAGCUGGCUGGUGGGGUAAUGGCCUACCAGGGCGACGAUGGGUCGCUGGUCUGAGAGGAUGAUCAGCCACACUGGGACUGAGACACGGCCCAGACUCCUACGGGAGGCAGCAGUGGGGAAUUUUGCGCAAUGGGGGGAACCCUGACGCAGCAACGCCGUGUGAGUGACGACGCCGUUCGCGGUGUAAAGCUCUGUGAGGCGGGACGAAGGCUCCGGGUGAAGAACCUGCGAGGGUGACGGUACCGCCACAGCAAGCCCCGGUUAACUCCGAGCCAGCAGCCGCGGUAAGACGAACCGUACAAACGUUAUUCGGAAUCACUGGGCUUAAAGGGUGCGUAGGCGGCCCUGCAAGUUGGGUGUGAAAGCCCUCGGCUCAACCGAGGAAUUGCGCCCAAAACUGCGGGGCUUGAGGGAGACAGAGGUGAGCGGAACUUAGGGUGGAGCGGUGAAAUGCGUUGUUAUCCUGAGGAACACCUGUAGCGAAAGCGGCUCACUGGGUCUCUUCUGACGCUGAGGCCCGAAAGCUAGGGGAGCGACCGGGAUUAGAUACCCCGGUGGUCCUAGCUGUAACCGUUGAGCACUUGGUCGGAGAGUCCUCCAUAGCUUUCCGGUCGCCGCGAGAGUGAUAAGUGCUCCGACUGGGGGAGUAUGGUCGGCAGGGUUGAAACCUCACAGGGAUUUGACGCGGGGCCACCCCAAGCCGGUGAAGGAUGGUGGCCUUAUUUCGGAGGCUACGCCGUAGAACCUUUAUCCUGGGGCUUGACCUUGCCCGGGGUUAACCUUCGUGAAGAGCGAGGCGGACGCCUUUCGGGUGGCACGUGCCCCAGGUGCUGCCUGGCUGGCGUCAGCUCGUGUUCUGCGAUGUCGGGUGAGGUCCCUUAACGGGCGAAACCCUUGUCACUGAGUUGCCAGCGAGAUAAUGCACGGCGACUGCUAGUGAGACUGACGCCUGCUAAUCCGGAGGAAGGGUGGGGAUGACGAUCAAGUCCUCGAUGGCCAUGGAUGUCCAGGCCAGAACACGUCUAUACAACUAAAGCGUGCGACUAAAUUGCGAAUCUCGCGAGUGCAACCAUGUCACUCAAAGAGCGCCCCAGUUCGGAUUGCAGGCUCAUACUCNCCUGCAUGAAGCCGGAAUCGCUAGUAAUCGCAGGUCAGCAUACUGC